UUUCCCCUUCUUUUUCGCCUUUUCUUUCUCUUCUUCUUCCUCCAAAGAGGUGGGAUAUUCAUGAAUACACAGAAGA
rnacentral:ribozyme from 13 species